rnacentral:lncRNA from 1 species
GGCCAGUGAGUGGGGUGGAGCGCGGCCGGCGGCCGCCCCCGGCCGGUCUCGGGCCCGCAGCCCGCCCGCCUGAGCCUCGGCCGGCCCGGCCCGGGGCGGCGGCCGGAGCCCGGAGUGCGCGCCCGGCUCCCCUCCCCCCGCGGGUAAGUGGAAGUCAGGAGGGACCCAGGAGGGAGGCCGGGAGCGAUCGGCGCCUCGGCGGCAGCGGCGCCGGCAACUUUUCCGCGCCUGGCUCGUGGGCGGAGUGGGGCUGCGCCCGGCGGGUCCCCAAGAGCGUUGCGAGAAGGCGAGGGCGCCGCCCCGCGCGCCUUGAGCGCCCCGCCGCCCGGGGUGGGUCGGGGAUCGGGGACAGUGCGUCUGACGGUGGCGACGGCGGCCGCGGAGUCCCGGGGCGCCCCCUACGGAGCGGGGGAAGGGCGGCCCGGCCUCUGUUCCCUUCCCAGUGGCCCCUCCACCCCGACCCCCCAGGGGACGCAUGGGAAUGCGGUGGGGAGGGCGGGUCCCCGCGCGACUUGGGCAGGUCAAGGUGGGCAGAGAGUUGUCAGGGUGGGAGGGCUUGUGUCCGGCUCGGACAUGGGGCUUGGGUUGAGGGGCUUGGAUAUGCAUAUGCCUACCCCACUCCUAGCCCCCCGACCUGGCCUUUGGACGGGAGGAAUGGGUUGGGGGGGUCUCUCAGAGUUCUUUGGGUGGGGGCGGGGGUGGAUACCGGUCCAAGUUCUUGACGUGUCGCCCGCUGGGUAGGGGGAAGGUCUCUUGUUGGGCAGGGGCUGGUGGGAGCUGGGGGGAUGUCUCCUUUCCCUUCGGAGAAAAGCGCUCAUUCAAGGUUGCAUAGGAAGGAAAGCCAGGUUGGGGACCAGCCCUGUGCAGCUUGGGGUCCCCGUGCCUUUUGGCUGAAGGAGGAGGUUAAAAGGGCCCAGACUGAACCCCGACCCCUCUGUCUUAGCCCCAGACUGUUUUCUGAUUUUAGCACUAGAUUUGGCUGCCCCUAAAGCCCUUAGCCCUAACUGACCUUCCUGCCCAGCCCAGCCCAGCCCAGCCCAGCCAGGCCCCAGACCCAGUGGCUUCUUGAAUGUUUUGGCUGUGCAGCUGGCUCCUUGUCACCUGCCCCCUUCCCAACCUUCCCCAGCUGGCAGCCUCUGACUCCUGGUCUAUGAGGGUGAGGCUGGGGGCUGGGGGACCCCUGGCAUAAGGGGUGUCCUCUGGCAGUCCUGCCCCAGCUGGAGGGCUGUACCCAACAGGUGCCCAGGCUUAGAGGCGAGGUGAUGUUGGACACACCCUGUCCGCUCGCCCACAUGCCCUGCCCGGGCCAGCCUGGGUACAUGUGUUCACAUGCCGAUGUCCUGGGAAGGCACAGGCCCUGGGGCUGGUGCUAGCUUUGUUCUCUGAUCCCGUGAGGCACCCAUGGCCCUCUGCCCUUGCAGCACGUCCUCUGGGAGCUCCUUCAAGACCCCAACAGGCAGGCCUUGCCUGUGGAUCUAGAGGGGGCCCUAAAAUAGGUGCCGGCCUGGCCUGGGGCUGGCACGCGGAGCACAUGCGUGACAGGGCGUGUCCAGAGGGUCGGGCCUGUCUGUGCUGGCCUGGCCACUGAGCCUCCGCCGACCCUUGCUCGCUGGAGAAAGACAGCAGAGGCGGAUGCUUUAGGAGGGACCCCCGUGUCGUGCCCACCCUCUAACAAUGCAAGUGGACGCCAGAUGUUCCAUGCAGACCGCAGCUGCGGGGCAGGCCCCCAUCUAUCUGCAAUCCCAGGGUAAUUAGCCCGGUGGGUACACUGGGGUGACCCGCUCGCCCGAUCUAGGUGGUGCUUUGAUACCUCUUAAAGCAUUUUUUGGAGUUUGCCCUUCACCUUGGAAAGCUGGGUGGGGGAUUCUGUCCUCCAUGAAUAACGGCGCCAGGAACCUUGGGCGAUCUUGAGAAAACUCCUUCCUGUAACCUCUGUUUUCCACGUUGGAUGUGUUUUAGGCCACAGUCAGGCCUGGCUUUUUUUUUUUUUUUUUUUUAAGACUUAUUCCAUGACCUUAAGCCCCAGUCUGAAUCUCUGAGCCUUAAUUAUUCUAUCUAUAAAUGGGAAGCAUUUGGAAAUGGGACGGAGAGAAGUGUACACUUUGCCCCUGGCCGCCUUCUUCCCUCCUGGUGUCCUGGGUGGACACGGAGGUGUGUCUGGGGAAGGUGUGUCCUUUAGGGCCGGUCGCCUGGGAAGGAUGUUGAGCGGAGGGCAGUGGGUGUGGGUGAGAAUCCCUGGGCAGAGAAGGGCGCCGCCAUGCUGGGCACGGCUGAGUCACGCUCCAGCGACGCCUUGCCCCAGGGUGCUGGAGCUGGCGCCACCCUGGGUGUGGUCACUGAGCUGUGGCCCUGGGCAGAGCAGGGCUGGGUGGUCUAGGAUGUGGGGCCUCGGUGCCUGGGGAACUGACUUCGAAGAUGCCAAGCCCCCUGGCCUCCCGCCUGGCCUAGGUUCUGGGGUCACCCUCCAGGACUGUGGUGGCCCACACCCUGAGAAUGCCUUGGAGAGCCUAGAGGCCCUGAGCCUUGGGCCUGGGAAUCGGUGCGUUGAGGGAGGUGGAUAGGGCGCAGACACCAGUGACUGCAUUCAAGGCCAGGGGACCCCCACAGCCAGGCCCUCACUGCAAAAUGUACCUAUGUGGGGAGAAGGCAGGGGUGGACCUGAUGACGGGGUGUACCACUCUACUAAGGGUUCCCAACAUGAAGGUGAGGGGGCCCCUGGGAAUUCUGUGAUUGGUCUGGGAAAGAUUAAAGUCUAAGUGGGGGUUAGAGUGUGGACUGGCGGGACGCAAUGGGGGCUGGGAUGUCACUUUCAUGGUUCCCCUAUUUAUAACAAGUGAUUCAGCCCUCACUUACUCACCCCUUCCUGAGCCUCCCCCCACCCCAGCCCUGGGUGGGCAGCGGGGCCCACCCACUUGUCAGUGCCCUGACUUUCCCUACCCAGUGCCACCCUCUGAGGGCUGCCCAUCGGGGCGGUUGUUAUUGUCGCUGCACUGGGAUUGGGGCAGAGGGGCGGGGGGCUCCUGGUCAGGCGGCGCUUGGCCGGGCAGCCCAGGUUGGCGGCUGGCUCGAGGCCCAGCCCACGGAGCUUCUGCUGAGAGUCUGGGCCCAUUAGGCAAAGCGUUAGUGACAGGCUGGGAGGGCGGGUGGCGCGGCGGGCAGGGCGGGGCCUGCAGCCCUUGGUAUUUUCCGAUCCCAGCUGCUCUGUGAGGGUGGAAAGUAUUUGGGGACCAGGCUUGGGGGCGGAGGUGGUGGUGGCGCCCCCGGCGGAAGCUGCCCCUGAUUCAUUCUUGGAGCAUGGGGUUGGGGGGGUAGCGGUACACAUACAUACCCUUGUGUGUCUGGUCCACGCACACGCUGUCUGGAGGGGGUAUUCAGGCAUACCCACAUGCAUUGGCUGGCCGGGGUGUCCUGAUGCAGCCUGGGGCCUGCUUUGCUCCCCAGCCCAGGGGCCCGCCCUCUCCCUCAUGCCUCCAGCUGCUAGGAGCUUGGUUUCCCCCUGGACACCAUCUCCCAAGAGCCUGAGAAGUGCACCAUGAUUGGUAAAGGGGACCCUGUCUCCUGGGCACCUGCAUGGCAGCACCCCUUCCACUCAAGACCCAGACCUUUUGUGCCUGCGGGGAUGGGGAGUGGCCUUGGCCCCGGCCCUGGGCUCUGUGCAGGGGAAACCCCACAGGAAACGAGCCUGGCCAAAUGGCCGCCCUUCCCGUUCUCGUCCCUGGGACACGAAUGUGCUGUCUCACUUCCGGAGGCGGCCCAGGGAGGCUGGCCGCCCUGCGGGGCCUCGCCUGCUCCCAGUUGGCGCCUCCAGACCCUAAGGGGACAGGGCUGGGCUGGGGCCUGAUGGGAAAGAGUGGCUGGUAUGUGUGUAUGUGUGUAUAGGGAGGGGACAAAACAGGACAUCACUCGCCGCCUGUCUCGAAGUGGUGAGCGCCACCACAUCGGGCGGACACUGGGGUCCUGGUGUGAGACACCCACGUUUCCGUUAUCCUUUGCCUUGGCAAAGACAGCAGCAGCUCUGUCGUGAUCAUGUUUAUCACUCAUGGGGUCCUCACCAUGACUUAUGAAGUCCAUACUUAUUAUCCCUGUUUUGCAGAUGGGGAAGCUGAGGCCCAGAGAGGUUGAGUGACUUGCCCAGAGUCACCCAGCUCAGAAGCUGCAGAGCUGGGGCUUUCAAAUCUGGGCAGACUUGGGCUCCAAAACUGGAGUCUGCUAGCCAGGUGUUGGGCUCUUAUCAAAAGAAGCUCCACUCACUAAAGACUUAGGGCUGGCUUCAUGCAUUUGUGAAACGGGCAGUCUCACGGCAGCCCUGCUUGGAGGGACCUGGAGGUUAGUUUAAUGUUGCACUGCUGGGGUCAUGAAUUUUUUUUUAUUAUUAUUAAUUUUUUUGUCUUGUAUUGCCCAGGCUGGUCUCGAACUCCUGGCCCCAAGCGAUCUUCCUGUCUUGGCCUCCCGAAGUGCCGGGAUUAUAGGGAUGAGCCACCGCGCUCAGCCUGAAAUUAUUUUCUUUUUUUAAACUUGUUUUUGUUUAUUUUAGAGAUAGGGUCUUGCUCUGUCACUUAGGCUGGAGUUCAGUGGCAUGGUCAUAGAUCACGGCAGCCUCAAACUCCUGGGCUCAAGCAGUCCUCCCACCUCAGCCGCCUGAGUAGCUGGGGCUACAGAUGUGUACCACCACUCCUGGCUGAUUUUUUAGUGAAUUUUUUGUGGGCCAGACACUGUGGCUCAGGCCUGUAAGCCCAGCACUUUGGGAGGCUGAGGCAGGCGGAUUGCUUGAGCCCAGGAGUUGGAGACCAGUCUGGGCAACAUGGCAAAACCCCAUCUCUACAAAAAUUAGGGCCAGGUGUGGUGGCUCACGCCUGUAAUCCCAGCACUUUGGAAAGCCGAGGUGGGCGGAUCACCUGAGGUCAGGAGGUCGAGACCAGCCUGGCCAACAUGGUGAAACCCCGUCUCUACUAAAAAUACAAAACUUAACUGGGCGUGGUGGCGGGCACCUGUAAUCCCAGCUACUCGGGAGGCUGAAGCAGGAGAAUUGCUUGAACUCUGGAGGUGGAGGUUGCAGUGAACCGAGAUCACGCCAUUGCACUCCAGCCUGGGCGACAGGGCGAGACUCUGUCUCAAAAAAAAAAAAAAAGAAAAGAAAAAGAAAAAAUUAGCCGGGCAUGGUGGUGCAUAGCUGUAGUCCCAGCUACCCCGGAGGCUAAGGUGGGAGGAUCACUUGAACCUGGGAGGCUGAGGCUGCAGUGAGCUGUGAUUGCACCCCUGCACUCUAGCCGUGGCGACAGAGUGAGACCCUGUCUCAAAAAAGAAAAAAUAUUUUUUUUUUUUGUAGAGAUGGGGUAUUGUCGUAUUGCGCAGGCUGGUCUUGAACUCCUGGCCUCAGGUGACUCUCCUGCCUCGGCCUCCCAAAGUGCUGGGAUUACAGGCGUGAGCCGCCAUGCUUGGCCUGAAAUUCUUAGUUUUCGAACUAGAGGACCACGUGUUCAUUUUGCACCGGGUCCUGAAAAUCCUGUAUCUUGCCCUGGUGCUGGGCACUUACUGAGUGACAUACAUACUCGGUGACAUCUCACUGGGCUAUGCAAAAGAGGCUCUUGGCUCCAUUUUACAGAUGGGGAAACUGAAGCUUUGGAGAGUCUUUGGGAAACUGUGGAGCAAGGAUUUGAACCUUGGGCUGUUUGGGUGGAGAGGCCUGUAUCUUGGAGCUUGGAUCCUGUGCUCUGGGGGGCGGGGGGUGCGUGUCUAGAAAGAGAGGGGGGUGCCUUGCUGCCGGCAUCCGCCCUGGUGGGUGUGGGCUAAGCCCUGGCCACUGAGGAGACCGGGCCACGGGGGGGGAGGCCCUGGUGGUUUCCUCCUGCCCUCCAGGCUUCUAGGAAGUGGCGCCAGCUGGGGUGAGAUCACUUCCUCACCCGCCUGCCUGGCCCCCCUUGGCUUCCUCUCCCCAUGGCCCCAUUUGGCCUGCCCAGGGCUCAAUGAGGGGGGAGCUUGGCCAUGCAAGUUGCUGUAGCCUCCUUGUCCCGCAUGGGCCCUCUAGGUAUCUCUGCCUCUCCAGUCCUGGGGCUGGAACGGAGGGCACAGCUAGGCUCCAGCUCCCCGUGUGGUGGCUCCUGCAUAUGAGAAAAGAGCUUCCCUGUGAUCAAAGGAAGCAUCUGGGGACCUGGAGGGGAGGUGUCCCCAAAUCUCAUUACCUCCUUUGCUCUCUCUCUCUUUCUCCCCUCCAGGUGCCAGCCUCUGGCCCCGCCCGGUGCCCCCCUCACCCCUGUGCCACGGCCGGCUGGGGUUCCUGGGGAUGGGAUUUGCUUCCUGUCACAAAUCACAUUGCCAGGGAUUUCCAACCGACCCUGAGCUCUGCCACCGAGGAUGCUGCCCGGGGACGGGGUGGCAGAGAGGCCCCGAAGCCUGUGCCUGGCCUGAGGAGCAGGGCUUAGCUGCUUGUGAGCAGGGUCCACACCAAGUCGUGUUCACAGUGGCUAAGUUCCGCCCCCCAGGCCCUCACCUCCUCUGGCCUUGCCGCCUGUCCCCUGCUGCCGCCUGUCUGCCUGCCAUCCUGCUGCCUGGCCUCCCUGGGCUCUGCCUCCCGUGCCUACUGAGCUGAAACACAGUUGGUUUGUGUACACUGGCUCAGUUCAGCAGGAACAGGGGUCAAGCCCCCUUGGAGCCUGCAGCCCCUGCCUUCCCUGGGUGGGCUGAUGCUUGGAGCAGAGAUGAGGACUCAGAAUCAGACCUGUGUCUGGAGGAGGGAUGUGGUGGGUGGGGUUGGCUGGGCCCAAAUGUGUGCUGCAGGCCCUGAUCCCCAACUCUGCAACUGGGGACCCCUGCAUGGCCACAGCUCAGGCUGGGCUGUGGUGCCAGCAUAGAUAGGUGGGUGAGUGGGUGGCCCUUCCAUUAAAAGGGAAGCCAGCUGUGUCCUUUCCGGGCCUGGAGGCUUGGCCCCUCCUCUCCCAAGCCUGGCAGGGGCACUGGCCCGGCCCGCACCUUCCUAGCAGCCAGUUACCCAAGAGGAAGCUGCCUUGGGCCUCCAGACCGUUAAAUGCCAACUCCUGGCUUCCGGUAUCAGGCUGGGUUGACCUGACCUGGCCCCUUCUUGCUGGGCCCUGCAGCUUUCUAACUUGCCGGGAGGAGCAGUGACACCCGCCCCACAUGUGGGGCAUGGAACAAGUUCCUUGUGGACCCAGAAGGGACACAAGCAGGUGUGCUUAGUCCUGAGGCGCUGGGAAUAGCUGAUCCUCCCUGCCUUGAGGGGGUUCUCAGGGCAGGGAAGAGUUAGGACUCUGUUUUUUUUUUUUUGUUUUUUUUUUUUUGAGAUGGAGUCUCGCACUGUCACCCGGGCUGGAGUGCAAUGGCUCGAUCUCGGCUCACUGCAACCUCCACCUCCCCAGUUCACACGAUUCUCCUGCCUCAGCCUCCCAAGUAGCUGGGAUUACAGGUGCACACCACCGCACCUGGCUAAUUUUUGUAUUUUUAGUAGAGACCGAGUUUCGCCAUGUUGGCCAGGCUGGUCUCGAACUCUUGACCUCAGGUGAUCUGCCCGCCUCAGCCACCCAAAGUGUUGGGAUUACAGGCAUGAGCCACUGCGCCCGGCCAAUUUUUUUUUAUGUUUUGUAGAGACGGGGUUUCGCCAUGUUACCCAGACUGGUCUUGAACUCCUGACCUCAAGCAAUCUGCUCGUCUUAGCCUCCCAAAGUGCUGGGAUUACAGCUGUGAGCCACCGUGCCUGGCCUUUUAUUGUUUGUUUUUGAGACGGAGUCUCACUCUGUUGCCCAGGCUGAAGUGCAGUGGUGUGAUCUUGGCUCACUGCAACCUCUGCCUCCUGGGUUCAAGCGAUUCUCCUGCCUCAGCCUCCUGAGUAGCUGGGCUUACAGGCACCCACCACCAUGCCCGGCUAAUCUUUGUAUUUUUAGUAGAGACGGGGUUUCACCAUCUUGGCCAGGCUGGUGUGAUCAUGGCUCAUUGCAACCUUGAAUUCCUGGGCACAAGUGAUCCUCCUGCCUUAGCCUCCCCAGUAGAGCUGGGACUACAGGUAUGCGCCACCACACCUGGCUAAUUUUUUUAAUUUUAAUUUUUGUAGAGAUGGGGGGGCAGGUCUCACUAUGUUGCCCAGGCUGUUCUCGAACUCCUGGCCACAAGCCAUCCUCCCACCUUAGUCUCCCAAUGCGCCGGAAUUACAGGUGGCUCAGGUGUGAGCCACCGUGCCUGGCUUUUCUCCACUAUCUUGAAAUCAGAUGGGAGGAGGCUUUUUUCUGGGUGGGACUGAGGAGGCACACUGAAGUCCCCCAGGUCAUCGGGGCUGGGCCAUUGCCUUUUUCCCCACCCUGGGUAGUCGUGGACAGAAGCUUGGGAUGGGAUGGAGAGGAGAGAUCGUGCUGUGUGUCAUGUCUGUUGUUCAAGUAAAUAAAAGUUGCCCUGACUUCAUUCCUGAAGGUCUGGUCUGUGAUUCACUCCUGCCUCCCAUCGCUGGAGUUUCAGCUUUUGAUUGGCCUGAAUUUACCAUCCUGGCACUCCGGGCUCCUGCCUGCCCAUCCCUGCCCCACCUGCUCUGUGCAGCAGGGUAUCCUGUGCUUGGAAAGGUGACCUUGGGGGUGUCCUGGAUCGUGGGGUGACCAUGAGGGAAACCCUAGAGUGGAAAGAUUUUCACAUCGCUGAUCAAGGGAGGAUGGAAGCUGAUCUGAAGUGGUGGUGGUGGGGUGACCCUGAGGGAAACGCUGAGCCUGAGGGGUGACAUGUGGCGAUAACCAGGAUCUGAGGGUCUUGAGCUAGUGACAUUUGGGGGCAACUUGGACCUACGGGAUUACUCAGGCCUCAGGGGAAGAUUUGGGGUGCCUGGUAUCUGAGAAUGCUGGAGGGGAACUUGGGUUUGAGGGAUGUGACAUGAAGGAAACCCCAGUUCUUAAGGGGGGACAUUUGGAUGUGGCUGGGACCUGCGUGACGCCCCAGGAACAUGGGAACAUUCGUGGGUGACACCUGAGGGGCACAGUAAAGGGUCCCCCAGGUCCGAAGGCGGCAGGGACCACAAGGGGUGCACUCCGGGCUCUCCACCCACCUCCACCGUCCCAGACCUCGAGGCGGCGCCACGGAGCGCGCGGGGCAGUCCCGGGUCCGCCCGCACAUACCUGCUGGAAUACGCGCGGCGGGGCAGGAGGUGGGGCCGUCUCCGAUUGGCCCACUCGAGCGGAGGGGCGGUGCGAAAAGCCAAUCCCCAUGCACAGCGCCGCCAAAGUCCCGCCCCCGACUGCGGGCCCCGCCCUCUAGCGACGGGCCCUGCCGCUCCGGGAAGCCUCUGUCCUCUCCUGCCCCGGCUCUGGCAGUGACCCAGACACAGCAUCUCCAUUCAUCCAAAAGGCAGGAAGGCCCCGAGGAAACUGCUUCUCGGGGAGCCAGGGACGUUUAGACAACCACGGGCUUUCUCGCCGUCCUUUGGAUCCCAUCCCUCACUCUAUUUGACGACUGGGAGCCUCUUCAGUGGCGCAAGAUCCCAGACACGCCCUGGCCACGUCCCCUGGCGAGUGUCCACGCACAGACCACCCCCACUCCGUUUUUCUUCUCUUGGCCAGAGCCCCGCCCACCGAGGUCGAGUCUAAACCCGGGGUUCCCGCUUUUGAUCGGGGUGUCUUCCCCAUCCAGCUGCACCAACACCUGCCACAGCCUCCCAUGCUCAGCAAUUUGGAGACAAGGACCCCCAACAUUGGUGUCUGGAGCCAGGGCGCCCCCCACCCCCAUCUUGGCCCUUCCUAGGGGCUCAAGGACCCUGCAGUCAGGGGUGGGCAGGGGUCAGUGGCCCCAACCAGGUCCUAAAUCAAACGUCCUAGCUAGGUGCCCUUCCCCCCUGCCCCCCACCCACGGAGUCUCGCUCUGUCGCCCAGGCUGGAGUGCAGUGGGGCGAUCUCGGCUCACUGCAAGCUCCACCUCCAGGGUUCACGCCAUUCUCCUGCCUCAGCCUCCCUAGUAGCUGGGACUACAGGCGCCCGUCACCACGCCUGGCUAAUUUUUUGUUAUAUCUUUAGUAGAGACGGGGUUUUACCGUGUUAGUCAGGAUGGUCUCAAUCUCCUGACCUCGUGAUCCGCCCGCCUCGGCCUCCCAAAGUGCUGGGAUUACAGACGUGAGCCACCGCGCCCGGCCGCUGGGUGCCCUUUCUUUCCACUUUGCAACCUCAGUUUUCUCAUCUGUAAAAUGGAAAAGAUAAUCCUACCAACUCAUAGGGCUGUGGUGACGAUUAAAUGACAGCGGUAACGCAUUCAGCCCUGUGUUCCCUCAUGGUGAGCUGUCCAUCUCUGUUUUGAAAUAUUUACAUAAGGCCGGGUGCGGUGGCUCACGCCUGUAAUCCCAGCACUUUGGGAGGCUGAGGCGGGCAGACCACCUGAGGUCAGGUGUUCGAGACCAGCCUGGCCAACAUGGUGAAACCCCGUCUCUACUAAAAAAUACAAAAAUUAGCCCGGUGUGGUGGCGCAUGCCUGUAAUCCCAGCUACUUGGGAGGCUGAGCCAGGAGAAUCGCUUGAACCCGGGAGGUGGAGGUUGGAGUGAGCCCAGAUCGCGCUACUGCACUCCAGCCUGGGCAACAGAGAAAGACCAAAAAAAAAAAAAGGGAAAUAUUUACAUAAUUACCAUGGAAUGAAGCCAGCAGUCGCUCCCAUCCCACCCCUCGCUUGGCGCUGCACCCAGAAAUAAGGCCAGACAUUUUUUUUUUUUUUUUUUUUUUUUGCGGAGGAAACGAGGUUGAGGGUGUGAGUGGCUCUGGAGAUGCACCCCAGUCUCAAAAUAAAAUUAAAAAGAAAAAUUUCUGUUCAAUCUUUGAAAAAAAAAAAGGAAAAGGACAUGUAAUACACCGUUCAAUAAAUAGAAAAAAAGUUACAAAAUGAUGUGGUAUUUUGUCCUUAAUAUACAAGAAGGGAAAAGAUGUGGGGGUGACUUGGGGGGGUGAUGUUCUCCCUUCUCCUCCCUGGGUCAAGGUGGGGGAAAGGAAGGAUGGCCAAAGAGAGAGGGCGGCAGGGACUUAGGUGCAGAGAGAAAGGCAGGUAAGUGCCGGGAAAAAUGGAAACAGAGUAAGAUGAAGGGGCGAAGCAGAAAGACAGGAGGCGAAAGGGUGAAAAAGCCAGAAAAACACCAAGAUACAGGUCUCUUUCCUUUCCAGAUCGGGGGUGGGGGUCUCCGGCUCUCUCGCGUCUGUGUCCCCCAACCCCAGGUUGGAAGGGGCAGUGUGAGCCUCGCUCAGUUCCUGAGUUGUACGUCCAGUGACUAGCAGGUGAGAAGAGAGGGCAGCGAGGACUUCCCCAACCCUGAGCCCACCCUGGGACCCUAGUGCCCAAGGAAAUGGGGGUCCUGGCCGGAUAGGAUAAGGGGGUGAGGUAUGAGGCUGAGGCCUGAGGCCUCUUCAAUUCCUUCAGUGGGGGUGAGCCAAUGGUCCUGGCUGGGCAGCCACUUUGGAGGUGGCAUA